UGGGGAAUAUUGGACAAUGGGCGAAAGCCUGAUCCAGCAAUGCCGCGUGAGUGAUGAAGGCCCUAGGGUUGUAAAGCUCUUUUACCCGGGAUGAUAAUGACAGUACCGGGAGAAUAAGCUCCGGCUAACUCCGUGCCAGCAGCCGCGGUAAUACGGAGGGAGCUAGCGUUGUUCGGAAUUACUGGGCGUAAAGCGCGCGUAGGCGGCUUUUUAAGUCAGAGGUGAAAGCCCGGGGCUCAACCCCGGAAUUGCCUUUGAAACUGGGAAGCUAGAAUCUUGGAGAGGUCAGUGGAAUUCCGAGUGUAGAGGUGAAAUUCGUAGAUAUUCGGAAGAACACCAGUGGCGAAGGCGACUGACUGGACAAGUAUUGACGCUGAGACGCGAAAGCGUGGGGAGCAAACA
rnacentral:rRNA from 1 species